GACUUGCUGGUGAUGUGGGACUUGGUGGUGAUGAGGGACUUCAACCUCGCAGACAUCUGUUGGGAAAAUAACACAGCAGGGCACAGAUUAUCCAAUAAGUUCUUGGACUGUAUUGGAGACAAUUUUUUAUUUCAGGAGGUGGAGAAAGCUACUAGGGGAGAGGCUG